rnacentral:rRNA from 1 species
GGUUGCGAUCAUACCAGCACUAAUGCACCGGAUCCCAUCAGAACUCCGCAGUUAAGCGUGCUUGGCGAGAGUAGUACUAGGAUGGGUGACCCCCUGGGAAGUCCUCGUGUUGCAACCCCC